GUACUCAUCUCCAAAAUCCAACAGCAACAGGUCAAACAAGCCUUGGAAUCUAAGCUAAUAGCCUAAGAAGAAGGACAUCAGAGCAGCUUCUCAUAAUCUGCAGCUUUCAGAAAUAAGACAUAAAAUUCUGAGCAACCCACACAAUCUCAAGGACAAACAUGAAAAGAUAUAGUGGGACUAAUGGACAAUCAGAAGAUAUUUUUAACUUCAGGUAUCACUGAUGAUGGAGUUGAUGAGGAAAAAGUAAAAUGUUCCUGUGGUUAAGAAGCUCUGUCUUCCCCUGUGUCUGCCUAGAGAACCUGAAUGUGAACAAGUCUGUGGGACGUGAUGAGAUGCAUCUGCAGGUCCUAAGGGAACUGCUGGAUGAAGUUCACAGAAUCAUUGAGGUUGGAAAAGACCUCAAAGAUCAUCUGGUCCAACCAUCACUCUACUACCAACGGCACCCACUGAACCAUGUUCCUAAGCACCAAGUCCACCUUUACUAAAACACUCCCCGGGACAGUGACUCCACCACUUCCCUGAGUAACCCGUUCCAAUGCCUGACUACUCUUUCUGAGAAGAAAUGUCUACAAAUUUCCAGAGUAAACCUCCCCUGGAACAACUUGGGGCCAUUCCCUUUUGUCCUAUCACUACUUAUCUGUGAGAAGAGGCUGACAUCCAGCUCCCCACAAUUUCCUUUCAGGCAGUUGUAGAGACCAAUAAGGUCUUCCCUGAGCAUCCUCUUCUCCAGACUAAACAACCCCAGUUUCCUUAGCCAUUACUCACAGGACUUGUGUUCCAGGCCCUUCACCAGCUUCAUAACCCUUCUCAGACACACUCUAGGGCCUUAAUGUCUUUCUUAUAAUGCCCAAAGCUGAACACAGUACUCGAGGUGUGGCCUCACCAGAGCAGAAUACAAGGGGACAAUCACCUCCCUGGUCCUGCUGGCUACACUGUUCCUGAUACAUGCCAGGAUUUUUGGUCACCUGGACACACUGCUCAUUCAGGGGAGCAUCAAUCAGCACCCCCAGAUCUUUUUCCUCUGCACAGCUUUCGAGCCAAUCUUCCCCAAGCCUGUAGCUCUGCAUAGGGUUUUCGUGGCCAAAGUGCAGGACCCUCCACUUAGUCAUGUUCAGCCUCAUCCCAUUGGCCUCUGCUCAUCCACCCUGUACAGAUCCCUUGCAGGGCCUUCUUGUCUUCUCGCAGAUCAACACUCCCCUCCAACUUGGUGUUGUCUGCAGACUUACUGAGGGUGUACGCCAUUCCCUCAUCCAAAACAAGAUAUUAAAGAGGAUGGGCCCCAACACCUACCCCUGGGAAGACCACUUGUGACUGGUCAUCAGCUGGCUUUCACUAUGUUCAACACUACUCUCUGGGCUCAGCCAUCCAGCCAGUUUUUACCUCAGCAAGGACUGUACCUGUCCAAGACACAGACUGCCAGCUUCUCCAAGAGAACACUAUGGGAGACUGUGUCAAAG
rnacentral:lncRNA from 1 species